rnacentral:snRNA from 1 species
AAAUGUGAAAAUGAUUCAGCUGUGACAUCUCUCAUUCCACUCAUCACCAGGGUUGACCUGGCUGCUCUGGUUGGCUAGGCGGUUGUCCCCUUCCUCCCUCAGCACUCCAGGUGUGUCCCUCCUGCAGAUGCAUGUUCGGCUCAAGACCAUACCUUCUCUGAAUAGAGGAGGAACACGUUUUUGUAGAGGGUAUUUGCUUUCCCCCACUAAAACCUUCAAACAAGCUCCAAGAGAUAUGAAACAAGACCCGAACGUAGGAAAGGCAGGUCCACAGAGGAUAAGU